rnacentral:pre_miRNA from 1 species
UUGAAGAGUGUUGAGGCCUCCGUUGUUAAAAUGUAUUUUUUAGGUUUCCUUGCUUUGUGCAAGGAAACCGGAAAAAAACAUUUUAACAACGGAGGCCUCAACACACUUC